rnacentral:tRNA from 1 species
CUAUUUUGGCAGAGAAGUGUGAUGAAUUUAGAAUUCAUUAAUGUAAUAUUAUUAUUAUAAAUAGUAU